UACGAAGGGGGCUAGCGUUGCUCGGAAUCACUGGGCGUAAAGCGCACGUAGGCGGAUUGUUAAGUCAGGGGUGAAAUCCUGGAGCUCAACUCCAGAACUGCCUUUGAUACUGGCGAUCUCGAGUCCGGGAGAGGUGAGUGGAACUGCGAGUGUAGAGGUGAAAUUCGUAGAUAUUCGCAAGAACACCAGUGGCGAAGGCGGCUCACUGGCCCGAUACUGGCGCUGAGGCACGAAAGCGUGGGGAGCAAACAGG
rnacentral:rRNA from 1 species